CAAUCCCCAGUACCAAAAAGAAAAAAAGAAAAAGAAAAGAAAACUAAAAUCAACACUCUUUGGUAAAAUCUCAGAGUUUGCCUCAGAAUUAAUUUUUCUUUUUCUCAGGUCUUCAUUUCAGCAGUUGUAACUACAUUGAUCUUCUUUCUUUUAGAGAAGCUGUAAACUCUGUGAAGUGAAGACCUCUAUUUUCCACAAGUUAAUUCCCUGUUUUUAGCAAUGGAGAAUUGUACCUGACAGGAAGAAGCAUUGUAGGAGCUGGAAGGAAGACAGAUCAAACUCUUAGAGAAAUCCUGUGCAGGAGUUGUGGAAAUAUCAUUGAGUGAGAAUCUUAUCCCUUAAUAAGUAUUCCUUCCCAGUGACAAUGCUGGAAGUACAGCUUGGGGAAUGUCUGUCAGGGCAUCAGAGCAUGGCUGUUUUCUCACAGCAAGAUCAGCUUAUGUGGAGGGACAGGAAGCUAUCCCAGAAAGUGAGACGGGAAAUGAGGAGUCUGAUCCAGUUCUGGGACUGACUGCAAAAUCCAAGCCGAUCAGGCAUGGUUUGAUUCCAGAGACAAUAUCUACAUGCAGACAGCAAGGAGGAAUGGAAAGCACUCAGGCUGUAGGGUUGGGAAGGUCUAGGUGGAAAUCAUGGCUCUGUUAUUUAUUUGUUUGCUUGUCUGUUUAUUGUCUGUGUGGUCUUGAGCCAGUUGUUUGGAUUCUCUGAGCCGCAAUUCCUCAUCUGUACAAUGGGGACAGAAUUACCUGUGCUAACACUGCUGUUUCUGUCCCCUCAGUAUUCUCCCUCCCUGCUCCAGUAGAAAUCAUCUCGAUCCCCCCUGCAAGUCUAGCAGAGUCCUCAUGUCGAUCGAGCUGACUUCCCUAUCCUGGAAAAUCAACUUUGCUUCCCAGGAAUUAUAAUCUUGAGUGCAGUGACCCAAGGACAAAAAAC
rnacentral:lncRNA from 1 species